AUGGAUAAAAAAGGAGUUCUCACAUCACGUGACGUGCCAAAAAGAGUCCAAGCCUCACAACUCAAUGCGGGGUCAGACCAGAUGACCAACAUCUCUCCUGCUCAGUAUGACAAGGAUGUCAAUGAUAAUGAAAACCUCCCUCACAGUAGAGCGGCGGAGUGCAUCCUUGCCAUCUACAUUUCAGAGCCCCAUCAGUUCAGCGUGAUCUCUCCGGUCAGCUGCUCAACAACAGAAGCAUGUACCGCCCAGUACAUGUAUUACUAUUGCGAAGGUUCAAAAAUCUGGACUCAACAAGUUCAACGUUGA
rnacentral:rRNA from 1 species